rnacentral:rRNA from 1 species
GUAUAAGAGACAGCAGCAGCCGCGGUAAUACAGAGGGUGCGAGCGUUAAUCGGAUUUACUGGGCGUAAAGCGUGCGUAGGCGGCUUCUUAAGUCGGAUGUGAAAUCCCUGAGCUUAACUUAGGAAUUGCAUUCGAUACUGGGAAGCUAGAGUAUGGGAGAGGAUGGUAGAAUUCCAGGUGUAGCGGUGAAAUGCGUAGAGAUCUGGAGGAAUACCGAUGGCGAAGGCAGCCAUCUGGCCUAAUACUGACGCUGAGGUACGAAAGCAUGGGGAGCAAACAGGAUUAGAUACCCCGGUAGUCCCUGUCUCUUAUAC